UACUUAGGGACCAAGCGUUGUUCGGAUUUACUGGGCGUAAAGGGCGCGUAGGCGGCAUGACAAGUCACUUGUGAAAUCUCCGGGCUUAACUCGGAACGGCCAAGUGAUACUGUCGCGCUAGAGUGCGGAAGGGGCAAUCAGAACUCUUGGUGUAGCGGUGAAAUGCGUAGAUAUCGAGAGGAACACCUGCGGCGAAGGCGGGUUGCUGGGCUGACACUGACGCUGAUGCGCGAAAGCCAGGGGAGCGAACGGG
rnacentral:rRNA from 1 species